GUGGGGAAUAUUGCGCAAUGGGGGAAACCCUGACCCAGCAACGCCGCGUGAAGGAAGAAGGCUUUCGGGUUGUAAACUUCUUUUACCAGGGAAAAACACAAUGAUGGUACCUGGAGAAAAAGCUACGGCUAACUACGUGCCAGCAGCCGCGGUAAUACGUAGGUGGCAAGCGUUGUCCGGAAUUACUGGGUGUAAAGGGCGUGUAGGCGGAACUACAAGUCAGGGGUGAAAACUAUGGGCUUAACCCAUAGCCUGCCUUUGAAACUGUAGUCCUUGAGUGCUGGAGAGGCAACCGGAAUUCCUAGUGUAGCGGUGAAAUGCGGAGAUAUUAGGAGGAACACCAGUGGCGAAGGCGGAUUGCUGGACAGUAACUGACGCUGAGGCGCGAAAGCCAGGGGAGCAAACGGGAUUAGAUACCCUUGUAGUCC
rnacentral:rRNA from 1 species